rnacentral:rRNA from 1 species
AUUGAACGCUGGCGGCAGGCCUAACACAUGCAAGUCGAACGAGGGGCGGACGGGAGAGAAAUGUCUGGGAAACUGCCUGAUGGAGGGGGAUAACUAGGGGAAACGGUAGCUAAUACCGCAUACCAUGGGAUGUGCCCAGAUGGGAUUAGCUAGUAGGUGGGGUAAGGGCUCACCUAGGCGACGAUCCCUAGCUGGUCUGAGAGGAUGACCAGCCACACUGGGACUGAGACCCGGUCCAGACUCCUACGGGAGGCAGCAGUGGGGAAUAUUGCACAAUGGGCGCAAGCCUGAUGCAGCCAUGCCGCGUGUAUGAAGAAGGCCUUCGGGUUGUAAAGUACUUUCAGUCGGGAGGCGUUACCCGCAGAAGAAGCACCGGCUAACUCCGUGCCAGCAGCCGCGGUAAUUC